UACGAGGGGUCCAAGCGUUGCUCGGAAUCAUUGGGCGUAAAGCGAGUGUAGGUGGCUUUGUAAGUCAGGAGUGAAAGCCCUGGGCCUAACCCAGGAAGUGCUUUUGAUACUGCAAAGCUUGAAUGUGGGAGAGGAUCGUGGAAUUCCGGUGUAGCGGUGAAAUGCGUAGAUAUCGGAAGGAACACCAGUGGCGAAAGCGGCUUCCUGGUCCAGCACCGACGUUCAGGCACGAAAGCGUGGGGAGCAAACAGG
rnacentral:rRNA from 1 species